CUUACGGGUCGCUUAGACGAAAUAGAAGGGAAAGAGAAGCGUCGCUCGACCUGUGGACGCGUUACAUAAUAUUCGCUGGACGAUUUUAGUUUUGACAUCGAUGUGGCUGCAUCUUUCUUCCGGAGUGGUAAUACCAGUACCACUUUGAGUCGACGACCAUUCGGCUCAAGCUCAUCAACCGGCGCCCGAUCAAGCGCAGUUCCAUCCCAUCCAGAGCCUUUACGAGAAGAUUCUAUUAGAAAUCGGGAGAACCUGCUGGUCUCAAACCGAGAAAUUCGACAGUUGUUCGACACAAUCAAAGAACUGGGGGAUAUAGUAAAGCGGCAAAAUGCCAAACUAGACAGUUUGAGCGUGGAACUGGAAAACGCUUGUAAAGAAGUGGCUGAGGUGAAGACCGAACUACAGACUGUACGACACAAGCUCGAUCGCCAACCUCAGUCGACUGAGAAGGAGAAUAUCCUUCGUGGGCCUGUUCCAAAGCAACUAAAGGGUGAUGUGCACUUGUUGCACAACAAACAAGAAGUUGAACUUUAGUUUUGUGGAAGUGAAGGCAUUGAUACUGCCCACAACAGUGCUGUUCGAGGAUUUCUUUGUAAGGAACUGGAAAAGGAAAACAAUGACUAUGAAAAGUCAACUAUCAAGUGUGCUGUGUCAAGAUAUUAUGAAACAAAAAGACAACAAUACCUUGACAAUCCACCUGACAGAAGAAAUAAAGCAGAGAAGACUGCUCUGCAAUAAAUUGAUGCAAAUUUCAUGAGUGGCAAGGAGAAUGGUGAGGGCAGUCAAGAGGAUGUGUGGGUUGUGAGGUCACCACUGUGGCGUAGUCCACAGCUAUCUCCUCUCUUAAAGAGACUUCAGGAGAAAAUUGACAAACAGCCAUCUUCCUCCUGAAGCUCACAUCCACAAAAUACAAGAGUAGAAGGAGAGCCAUCCACACACAGUCUACCAACUUCCUCACCUGCAUGGGCACUCCUUC